rnacentral:rRNA from 1 species
CCUACGGGUGGCAGCAGUGAGGAAUAUUGGUCAAUGGGCGGGAGCCUGAACCAGCCAAGUCGCGUGAAGGAUGACUGUACAGCGGGUUGUCAACUUCUUUUGUAAGGGAAUAAAGUGAGGCACGUGUGCCUUUUUGUAUGUACUUGAUGAAUAAGGAUCGGCUAACUCCGUGCCAGCAGCCGCGGUAAUACGGAAGAUGCGAGCGUUAUCCGGAUGUAUUGGGUUUAAAGGGUGCGUAGACGGGUUGUUAAGGCAGCUGUGAAAGUUUGUGGCUCAACCGUAAAAUUGCAAUUGAUACUGGCAGUCUUGAGUACGAGUGAGGUAGGCGGAAUGCGUGGUGUAGCGGUGAAAUGCUUAGAUAUCACGAAGAACUCCGAUUGCGAAGGCAGCUUACUAAACUGCCACUGACACUGAUGCACGAAAGUGUGGGUAUCAAACAGGAUUAGAUACCCCUGUAGUC